rnacentral:rRNA from 1 species
UACGUAGGCAGCAAGCGUUGUUCGGAGUUACUGGGCGUAAAGGGUGUGUAGGCGGUCCUCUAAGUUUGGUGUGAAAUCUCCCGGCUCAACUGGGAGGGUGCGCCGAAAACUGGAAGGCUAGAGUACUGGAUGGGAGAGUGGAAUUCCUGGUGUAGCGGUGAAAUGCGUAGAUAUCAGGAGGAACACCUGUGGUGUAGACGGCUCUCUGGACAGUAACUGACGCUGAGACACGAAAGCGUGGGUAGCAAACAGG